rnacentral:rRNA from 1 species
CCUACGGGAGGCAGCAGUGGGGAAUAUUGGACAAUGGGCGCAAGCCUGAUCCAGCAAUGCCGCGUGAGUGAUGAAGGCCUUAGGGUCGUAAAGCUCUUUUACCAGGGAUGAUAAUGACAGUACCUGGAGAAUAAGCUCCGGCUAACUCCGUGCCAGCAGCCGCGGUAAUACGGAGGGAGCUAGCGUUGUUCGGAAUUACUGGGCGUAAAGCGUACGUAGGCGGUUAUUCAAGUCAGAGGUGAAAGCCCGGGGCUCAACCCCGGAACGGCCUUUGAAACUAGGUAGCUAGAAUCUUGGAGAGGUCAGUGGAAUUCCGAGUGUAGAGGUGAAAUUCGUAGAUAUUCGGAAGAACACCAGUGGCGAAGGCGACUGACUGGACAAGUAUUGACGCUGAGGUACGAAAGCGUGGGGAGCAAACAGGAUUAGAUACCCUGGUAGUCCACGCCGUAAACGAUGAUAACUAGCUGUCCGGGCACUUGGUGCCUGGGUGGCGCAGCUAACGCAUUAAGUUAUCCGCCUGGGGAUACGGUCGCAAGNUUAAAACUCAAAAUGAAAUUGACGGCUGAGACNGCGAGACGACACGAGGAGAG